rnacentral:rRNA from 2 species
GAUAAACGCUGGCGGCGCACAUAAGACAUGCAAGUCGAACGAACUUAAUUGAGAGCUUGCUCUCAAAGCGGUUAGUGGCGGACUGGUGAGUAACACGUAAGCAACCUGCCUAUUAGAGGGGAAUAACAGCGAGAAAUCGUUGCUAAUACCGCAUAUGCUGUGAGUAUCGCAUGAUACAAGCAGGAAAGGAGCAAUCCGCUAAUAGAUGGGCUUGCGUCUGAUUAGUUAGUUGGUGGGGUAACGGCCUACCAAGACGAUGAUCAGUAGCCGGACUGAGAGGUUGAGCGGCCACAUUGGGACUGAGAUACGGCCCAGACUCCUACGGGAGGCAGCAGUCGGGAAUAUUGCGCAAUGGAGGAAACUCUGACGCAGUGACGCCGCGUGCAGGAAGAAGGUUUUCGGAUUGUAAACUGCUUUUAACAGGAAAGAAAAAAAUGACGGUACCUGUUGAAUAAGCUCCGGCUAACUACGUGCCAGCAGCCGCGGUAAUACGUAGGGAGCGAGCGUUAUCCGGAUUUAUUGGGUGUAAAGGGUGCGUAGACGGAAAUGCAAGUUAGUUGUGAAAUACCUCGGCUUAACUGAGGAACUGCAACUAAAACUAUAUUUCUUGAGUAUCGGAGGGGUUUGUGGAAUUCCUAGUGUAGCGGUGAAAUGCGUAGAUAUUAGGAAGAACACCGGUGGCGAAGGCGACAAACUGGACGAUAACUGACGUUGAGGCACGAAAGUGUGGGGAGCAAACAGG